rnacentral:rRNA from 1 species
GACGAACGCUGGCGGCGUGCCUAAUACAUGCAAGUAGAACGCUGAAGGAGGAGCUUGCUUCUCCGGAUGAGUUGCGAACGGGUGAGUAACGCGUAGGUAACCUGCCUGGUAGCGGGGGAUAACUAUUGGAAACGAUAGCUAAUACCGCAUAAGAGUAGAUGUUGCAUGACAUUUACUUAAAAGGUGCAAUUGCACCACUACCAGAUGGACCUGCGUUGUAUUAGCUAGUUGGUGGGGUAACGGCUCACCAAGGCGACGAUACAUAGCCGACCUGAGAGGGUGAUCGGCCACACUGGGACUGAGACACGGCCCAGACUCCUACGGGAGGCAGCAGUAGGGAAUCUUCGGCAAUGGACGGAAGUCUGACCGAGCAACGCCGCGUGAGUGAAGAAGGUUUUCGGAUCGUAAAGCUCUGUUGUAAGAGAAGAACGAGUGUGAGAGUGGAAAGUUCACACUGUGACGUAUCUACCAGAAAGGAC